GGCCUGGUCAGCGCUGACUCCACAUGGGCUCCAGGCUCCUCUGCUGUGUGGCCCUCUGCCUCCUGGGAGCAGGCCCCUUGGACACAGCAGUUUCCCAGACUCCAAAGUACCUCAUCUCACGGGUGGGAAAUGAGAAGACCCUGAAAUGUGAACAAAACCUGAACCACGAUGCCAUGUACUGGUAUAAGCAGGACUCCAAGAAAUUGCUGAAGAUUAUGUUUAUCUACUAUUAUAUGAAACUCAAUCUACAUGAAACAGGUUCAGGUCGUUUCUCACCUGAAGCUCCUGACAAAGCUCAUUUACACCUUCACAUCAACUCCCUGGAGCCGGGCGACUCUGCUGUGUAUUUCUGUGCCAGCAGCCAAGACACAGCCCUGAAAAGUCACUGCCUCCCUGUGCAAAAACCCCCUGGCCCAGCCAGGAAGCUGUGGGGGCAACAUGUUCUCCUGGCUCCAAUGCUCUGUUCACCCGCCGCGAGACUCUGA